GGAAAGAUGGCAGAGCGGUUGAAUGCACCGCACUCGAAAUGCGGCAAUCUCUCACGAGAUUCGGGGGUCCAAAUCCCCCUCUUUCCGCCA
rnacentral:tRNA from 2 species